UACGAAGGGGGCUAGCGUUGCUCGGAAUCACUGGGCGUAAAGCGCACGUAGGCGGACUCUUAAGUCAGGGGUGAAAUCCUGGAGCUCAACUCCAGAACUGCCUUUGAUACUGGGAGCCUUGAGUUCGGGAGAGGUGAGUGGAACUGCGAGUGUAGAGGUGAAAUUCGUAGAUAUUCGCAAGAACACCAGUGGCGAAGGCGGCUCACUGGCCCGAUACUGACGCUAAGACGCGACAGCAUGGGGAGCGAACGGG
rnacentral:rRNA from 1 species